GCUGGAGUGCAGUGGCACAAUCACAGCUCACUACAGCCUUGAAUUCCUGGGCUCAAGCAGUGCUCCUGCCUCAGCUUUCCGAGCAGCUGGGACCACAUACAAGAAAACUCAUCAUCUAUAAAGUCAAAGGCGUUAGAUAACUUUCCCAAAGUCAUGCUGUGGGAGAAGAGAGGUGCAGGAUUCAGCCACUUGUCCAUGACCACAACGGCUCACCUGGACUCGGGCGUGGAACUGUCCACCGUACAGGAUCGUUACGGGUUCCUGGUGAGGAGACUCCCUUCUAAUGGAUAGGACCGUGCAGACGAUAAAGCCCACAGAAAGCGUCUCUUUCUACGCUCGGCCAGCCUGGGUUUUGUGGCGCCAGCAGCAGGCGCUGUGGUUCCCCGGCGUCCCUCCGGGGCCUCCCGCCGCGAUUUGCGGAGCGCACUUGUUCCCAGGUGUGCCAGCGCCCUGCGCAGCGGCCCAGCCAACCCAGGCUCAGACUCAGGUCUGCGCCGUUUCCUCGCCACGCUCCCCCGAGGGAAACGGUCCUGAUGCGUGUGUCCAGGCUUUUUUUUUUUUUUUUUAAGACUUUAAACGGUCCUGAUCCGUGUGUCCACGCUUUUUUUUUUUUUAAGACCCUGGACGACAGGGUCUUGCUCUGUCGUCCAGGCUGGAGUGCAGUGGCGCCAUCAUGGCUCACUGCAGCCUGGAACUCCCAGGCUCAAGCGACCCUCCCACUCAGCCUCCCAAGUAGCUGGGAUUGCAGGCGAGGGCCACCGUGCCCGGCCUAUUUUUUUUUUUUUUUUUUUUUUUUUUUUGAAGAGAGGAGAUCUCCUUGUGUUGCCCAGGCUGCACUCGUGCCUUCUUACCACGGCCCGUCUCGUCUCGUCAGUGCCACCCGCGCACUGUCCCCAGGGUCCGGGCCGCCCUGGCCCGCAGUGAGCAAGGGACCCAUAGGCUGCGGCCCGGGACUGUUUAACAUUUCCCUCCACAGGCCGCGACUGUCUUCCCCAAACUGUCCAUCAGGACAGGUGUUUGCACUUGUCGGCAAUAUGGGAAACUCCCACCAAUUUGUGUUUGGAAGAGCUGAGUUUUGAGUUUUGGGUGUGGAGCUUUGAGAGCUUUCCAAGGCCCCAGGCCGGCUGCUUUGUGUUAUACUGUGUCCCUGGAAAUCAUCUCACACCUGGGUUCAUAAAGCAGGAACGCUGCAGGUGGGAAAUGCGUUCCUUAUCAAGCGCUGAAAAUCAGAGGCAUUCCAGUGUUGCCAACAGUGUCACAGAGGUAGAUACAUCGGGCCCCUUACGUAGAAUUCCAUGCGGGACAGCUUCCCAAGAACCACAGACUCCAACCUCCUAAAGCAAAGAUCUCUCUCUCUUCUGAAGCCCCAUGAAGCUUAAGAGAACGCUGCUCAAGGGGGGACUUAAUGAGACAGGAAGAAGGUGAACUUUUAUAUUAUUUCUUCAGAAGAACUCACUGCAGGCAUCAGCAAUGCUUGAACCCUGGGAGAAUGUGUGUUUUUGCUCUGGGGAAAGCCUGUGAGAGAGGGGACAGCCCCUGCAGUGACUUCUCAAAUUGCUUCUGUUAGGAAAAAAGGUCUUCCUCCUUAUGAUAUCUAAGACAACAAAAAGUGUGAUUUUGAAUACCUGCUUAGGGAGUCUGCCAAUGAAAAUAACCAACUGCAGAACUAGUGGUUUAAACUUAAGGGCACUUUUAUUAUUUUAGAAAAUGCUUACUUCCAGUUACAAUGUAAUCCAGGAAAGACACUGUUAUGGCACAAAAAUUAAGUUUUAGUAAGAGUUUUGUAAAUACAUGAGCUAAAUGAACAUUUA